rnacentral:rRNA from 1 species
AAAGAUCGAAUCGGGAGAUUCAACGAAAACGAGACCGGCUUCCGUAUGAUGCGCGAUACCCUGAAUGGUUCCCUCGUGGUUCCAAUGAGAUGGUACACCAUCUUCGGCAAAUGUUCCGGCCUCGUACGUUGUGCACUUCUCCCAUUGUAGAACGUCGCGACCCAGUUGCGUGUCGGUCUACGGCACGAGUUGUUGCCUGUCGCGUCUGUCUCGUGCGUACGCGGCAGACGCUCGAUCGCCUGGCCGGCUGCGCGACGGUACUCUGACGGUAUCGGGCCGCAAACCAAUCCAUUUUCUAGAAUGUGUGUGCGUCGGGCCCGCCGCAAGCUCUGCUAGUUUACCCG